GACGAACGCUGGCGGCGUGCUUAACACAUGCAAGUCGAACGGAAAGGCCCUGCUUUUGUGGGGUGCUCGAGUGGCGAACGGGUGAGUAACACGUGAGUAACCUGCCCUUGACUUUGGGAUAACUUCAGGAAACUGGGGCUAAUACCGGAUAGGAGCUCCUGCUGCAUGGUGGGGGUUGGAAAGUUUCGGCGGUUGGGGAUGGACUCGCGGCUUAUCAGCUUGUUGGUGGGGUAGUGGCUUACCAAGGCUUUGACGGGUAGCCGGCCUGAGAGGGUGACCGGCCACAUUGGGACUGAGAUACGGCCCAGACUCCUACGGGAGGCAGCAGUGGGGAAUAUUGCACAAUGGGCGGAAGCCUGAUGCAGCAACGCCGCGUGCGGGAUGACGGCCUUCGGGUUGUAAACCGCCUUCGCCUGUGCCGAAGCGUGAGUGACGGUAAUGGGUAAAGAAGCACCGGCUAACUACGUG
rnacentral:rRNA from 1 species